ensembl:lncRNA
GAGGGGCGGCAGGGUAGCCUAGUGGUUAGAGUGGAGGGGCGGCAGGGUAGCCUAGUGGUUAGAGUGGAGAGGUGGUAGGUAGCCUAGUGGUUAGAGUGGAGAGGUGGUAGGGUAGUCUAGUGGUUAGAGUGUAGAGGUGGCAGGGUAGCCUAGUGGUUAGAGUGUAGAGGAGGCAGGGUAGCCUAGUGGUUAGAGUGGAGAGGUGGCAGGGUAGCCUAGUGGUUAGAGUGUAGAGGAGGCAGGGUAGCCUAGUGGUUAGAGUGUAGAGGAGGCAGGUAGCCUAGUGGUUAGAGUGUAGAGGCGGCAGGGUAGCCUAGUGGUUAGAGUGUAGAGGUGGCAGGUAGCCUAGUGGUUAGAGUGUAGAGGUGGCAGGUAGCCUAGUGGUUAGAGUGUAGAGGUGGCAGGUAGCCUAGUGGUUAGAGUGUAGAGGUGGCAGGGUAGCCUAGUGGUUAGAGUGUAGAGGUGGCAGGGUAGCCUAGUGGUUAGAGUGUAGAGGUGGCAGGGUAGCCUAGUGGUUAGAGUGUAGAGGUGGCAGGGUAGCCUAGUGGUUAGAGUGGAGGGGCGGCAGGGUAGCCUAGUGGUUAGAGUGGAGGGGCGGC